AAGCAGGCGUGGAAGCAGUAGACUUCAGGAAGAACAUGCUGGGAAAGAUCACGCCAACCAAGACAUAUGUCCAGGACUUCAAUGCUAGAAAAACUUAUAUUGUUAGCACCGAUGGCAGUUGUCAGACCUUUGACAUUCCUGACGAUGGCAUCUACCCCCAAUGUCUGCCAGCCAAUGCUGUAUGGGUAGGA
rnacentral:sRNA from 1 species